rnacentral:piRNA from 1 species
UACAGAUAAACUUUCACAUACUGGAGA